rnacentral:tRNA from 1 species
GGAGAGUUGGCUGAGUGGUCGAAGGCGCACGACUGGAAAUCGUGUUCACGUUAAUAGCGUGACCAGGGUUCAAAUCCCUGACUCUCCGCCA